UGAGGAUGUGGGGUGACCGCCCUGACCUGGCAGGAGACAGUGCACUUCGGCAGAUCUGCGACCCAGCUUGACAGGUGCUACAAAACCGGGGCUCUGCGCUGCCCCCUGGACAAGGCCGACCAGCUGACCUGGGGAUUAAAAUCCAAGGUGAGAAACGAGUGGCCAUUAUCCCUGCAGCUGGCGACCUGGACAGAGCCCCAUUCUCGGCCCCGUCAUCCCACCGGGGACCUCCCCAGGCUGCAGGCAGAUCCACCGGCCUUGGGUGCACCAGGGAGCGUCUGGACUCUACAGAGCGGCCACGAGCCCCAGGAAUUUGCAUCUGCAAGGUUCCAAACAGAUGGGUCCACCUACUCGAACACAUACACCACGCAUACCCGUAAAGAUGUGAAUUUCUGCUGCUCUGCCGGCAACAUCUAAAACCCCCUCCAGAAGCCCACGUGCAGAGAUGCUGACUGUGGGGCCCGGGUACCCGUCCUUGCCACAAGCCUGCAGGUGACAAGUGCUGUGGCCAACAUGAGGCACGCAGGAAUUCACUGAAUUCUCAAGGCAGCCCUGGGGGCCGGAAUGCGCUGACCAGGAGGAUCAUCCUUAGUUCACAACUGGGAAACCGAGGCUCAGAGAGGCAGACUCGCAGUCCUAAAGCAUAUCGUGUCUGCAAAAGUAACAAGGAGGCAGACAUUCGAGCUGAUGAGAAAAUGGCCAACGUGUCCAUCUAGCCCUCGUGACGGCAGCUUUUCUCUUCCUGGACAGAAGGGUGUCCCUUGGCUUGCCGCCACGCUUGUGCCUAGAGAUUCCCACGCUCCAACCCACUGGGCGAUGCCACUGCUUUCAGCACUUGGCACUACUCAGACUCAGAGACUUCGAGCAAAGGGGCCCCAGCAUUUAGCACAGAACCCAGCCCCUCUGGGCGUGUAGUCAGUGUUUGAUGAAAGAAUGCAUAGAGAUGGAUACACAGAUGUGUGAAUUGCACGUGCCCAGCAGGUUAAGAGCUGGACUCCAGAUGACUAGAGGCCAAAGCUGGUCUGUCCGACUCCCAAGUCCAUGUUCCCAAGUCCCGCUGUCCCACCCAGCUUGGGUCUCACACCACGGUGAUUUCAGUGUCAGCCCUGACCUGUGCUGGGAGCAAUUCUCCUUUGCAAGAGUCUCUGGGGAGCUGACUGUGGCGUAUGUUCCUUUCUGAAGGUGUCAGACUCUCGCGGUUUGCAGGCCCUCCGGUGGGCAGGCCACUAACCAGGACCCUCGCCCACUCUCUCAGGAUAGAGAGGUGCCUGCUCCUUGUGGCUGCAGUCUGCCAGGCUGGGCCCUGGCUCUGAGAAGGGCUUCUCUGGACCCCACAAUGUGCUGACAAGACCCCUCAAUUUCACACAAGAGCCUCUGUCCUUUCAUUGUCAUACACAUGACUCUCAUCUAGGGAGCCGUCCUAUUGACCACAGUAGUCUACUUUCACCAAGUCCUAAAUUCUCCUUCUGAGGAAAACACCCACUUUAUGGAUGAGAAAACCGAGGCCCCAAGAACACAGCAGACUAAGUCCUAUGGCCGCACUUCCUCAAUUCUCAGAUGCACGUUUCUUGCAAACUGAGCCUGCAUUGAAUCCCCCCAAUUUUUUUUU